rnacentral:rRNA from 1 species
UACGUAGGGUGCGAGCGUUAAUCGGAAUUGCUGGGCGUAAAGCGUGCGCAGGCGGUUCGUUGUGUCGGUGGUGAAAUCCCCGGGCUUAACCUGGGAAUGGCCAUGGAAACUGGCGAACUGGAGUGUGGCAGAGGGGGGUGGAAUUCCGCGUGUAGCAGUGAAAUGCGUAGAGAUGCGGAGGAACACCGAUGGCGAAGGCAGCCCCCUGGGCUAACACUGACGCUCAGGCACGAAAGCGUGGGGAGCAAACAGG